rnacentral:tmRNA from 1 species
GGGGGCGUUUAGAUUCGACAGGGUUGUAGGGUCGUAAGUUGCAGGUCGAGGUUGUUCGGCACCUCGUAAAUCACCGAGCAAAAAAAACAAAUGCCAACAACAAUGUUGUGCCUUUCGCACCCCGCGCUCUUCGCGCGGUUGCCUAACUAAAAGCUUAGGACGCGAACGAGACUGGAGAUCUUGAUCACCCGAUAGCCAUCUCGCCAACCAUGGUGAUUGCUCAGGAGCAAAGCUAGCGAUUAAUAGCUCCUGCUAAGACAUGAUCGCGAUCCCGGGUGGCGGUUCUCGCCUAUCUCAGCGGUUCUGUGAAAAUCGAGAACUAAGCCUGUAGUAACUUGCCUCUCGGCGAUUUUGGACGCGAGUGCGAUUCUCGCCGCCUCCACCA